rnacentral:miRNA from 1 species
AGUAAGGGCCUUAUCCAUAGA